UUGAAGCGUAUAUUACGCAAAUAGUGUGAUUUUGCUUGACUGACACCGCUGUCACAGACCAGCCAGAUAUUAGGAAGCAGACGAAAUCAACUUUUCUUUUCUAACAACAAUAGAUAGAUGCGCCAUGGCCAGAGACACAAAUCAAAUCAAUAGAUAGAUUCUUCUGCUCUUUGCUCUGUGCAAAUACUCUUAUGUGAUAUGGAAUUUCAAGAAAAGUAAAAUCGUAAUUCUAAAGUGAUUGUUUUGUGCAUUUACACCACACACCACAUAAUAACUUCAACUUUGCUUUUACGUGUUUGGCGAUAGGGAUUCAAGUAUAGGAAGCGAUUUGUUCAUUUGUGAGAAGGAGAAUUGACAAUUGUUCUACAGGAAUGUAGUGGUACGUUGUUUUCCCCAUUACAAAUUCCCUGAUGCCACAGCUUGCACAACCAACCAACAGUGCAUUGGUGUUAAAAAACUGCUGAAAUCUAUCAACUAUUUCUCCUUUAUCCUCAUUUCUAAGAUUAUCCUUUAGUUCAUGAAGCAAUUGUUCAGUGACUUUCGGUGCCAUACCACUGCUGUAAAGAUUUCGAGUUGCCGAAAACCUUCCCAGUCCAGAAUUAGUUGCCAAAGCCAUAAGUGCAGUUAUUGGGUUUUUUUCAAAAUCAGCUAGUUGAUUAGCUGUUGGCGGUUCUUUCAAGUCCAGACUAAUCGUAUUUUCAGUUAAAAACUCCUCUGAUGAUUCCAAUAGAGAUAAUUCUCCUCCUGUUGCUACUUCAGUUAUAAUUUCAAUCACCAGAGCAUUGCUGUCCAUGUCUUGAACUUCUGAGGAUUCAUUUUGAAACUGCAAGCACAAUUAAAAUGGACUUUAUUGCUUUCUUAUCAUCAGAAUACUAACAAACAGACUAAUAUAUUUGGAAUCCUACCUCAAUUUCUAUGUCCACAUCAAUCAAUUGUUCUUCAGAUGGCGCCAAAUCAUUUGCAGAAAACAACUGCAUUAAUUGCGAAUUUAAGUAUUGUACGUUUUCAAAAUAAACCACAAAUUGGUUACCGAUAUUCGAUUUUCUUCCACUAAAUCAAAAUCUAAACGGCUGCAUUCCUCGCUUGCCGCCCUUUUCUGCGCCUUAUUAAUAAUCUUCUGCCUGUCUGGUGUGAAAGUACUUUUUUUCUUGCCUCUUUUCGGCAUUUUGAAUGAUUUCGCUCGUAAUGCUCAUGCGGAACUAAACAAAUUCCUACCUCAAUUUCUAACAAAUUUAUUAGUCCGUGUCAGAGGUACGCCAUCUAGCAGAUAAAUCCAUAAUAUAUGAAUGGAAUCACCAUUCCUAGAUGGCGUGUAAGUUUCGAGUUUGCUUCUUGAUGUUGUUUUUAAGUCUAGAAUUUGGUGUUACUUGGUGUUACGAAUUUCGUGAUACAGAUAUAUCGGCCGAAAUAUAGGUUUUCGAAAUGGCGAAGGCGUCCAUCGCCACACAGUGUUUCAGACCUAAUUCAUGAUAAUAGAGUAAGAUCAUUCGCAUUUGAUUUCAUCACUAGUUUUUAGCCCUUGGUACUUUUUUCCCCCCUUCGAGCUGUGGUCGUGUGAUUUAUAAGUUCUGAAAAUUAUCUAAUGCAUAUUAUCUCACCAGCACGCCGGCCCGCUUUUCAGAUUGUAUCGUCCACCUUCUUUCCUUAUGGGAAAACAAGGUCCAGAAAUGUACUGGAAGACUUUGAAUCCAGGCCAGCAGCUGCAAAUAUCAAGGUGCUGUUCUUAAGCUUUGAAGACAUUUUAAAAGCUCUUCAAACAACUGCAUCCGAGUCAUUGAACACAAGGCAACUUCACUAUCACAACAAUGAAAACAAUGUGGUCAAUGUUGCGAGAAACAUUUUUAUUAUGAAGAUUCGUUGAUGGGUGGCCUUGCUGGCCAACAAUUUGUGUUUAAGCGUGUCACUGGACCAACGACUGAUCCUCUGGAAACGAGAAGACACUCGACUUAGAUGGCUCUCGCCCGUUUGCUGCGACAUAUCCGACAUUCAAGGUCUGGACGUGUCUGUGGGUGCCUCCAAAACUUCUUUGCCCAAAAUCCUGGUUUACGGUCAAGGUAUUCAAAUCUUUGAAGUGGACAACUUGUUCAACAUCACCGAACAUCACUCACAAAAUAGACUAUUCAUCUGUCGACCCGUUAUCCGACUAAGGUAAAAAGAAAAAUACAAAAUAUAUUUUGCAUGGCGCGCUCGUUGGGUAACAACUUUUUGAGUUGUCUUAUCUCUUUUGAAA